AAUACCCAAUGAUAUCUCAAGAAGACAUCUGAAUGAGAUUAAAGAUUCAUCGGUGAUGGAUGGGGAUGCGUCUGAUUAGCUUGUUGGCGGGGUAACGGCCCACCAAGGCUACGAUCAGUAGGGGUUCUGAGAGGAAGGUCCCCCACAUUGGAACUGAGACACGGUCCAAACUCCUACGGGAGGCAGCAGUGAGGAAUAUUGGUCAAUGGGCGAGAGCCUGAACCAGCCAAGUAGCGUGCAGGAUGACGGCCCUAUGGGUUGUAAACUGCUUUUAUAAGGGAAUAAAGUGAGCCUCGUGAGGCUUUUUGCAUGUACCUUAUGAAUAAGGACCGGCUAAUUCCGUGCCAGCAGCCGCGGUAAUACGGAAGGUCCGGGCGUUAUCCGGAUUUAUUGGGUUUAAAGGGAGCGUAGGCCGGAGAUUAAGCGUGUUGUGAAAUGUAGACGCUCAACGUCUGCACUGCAGCGCGAACUGGUUUCCUUGAGUACGCACAAAGUGGGCGGAAUUCGUGGUGUAGCGGUGAAAUGCUUAGAUAUCACGAAGAACUCCGAUAGCGAAGGCAGCUCAUUGGAGCGCAACUGACGAUGAAGCUCGAAAGUGC
rnacentral:rRNA from 1 species